CGUAGUCGAUGGGAAACAGGUUAAUAUUCCUGUACUUGGUGUUACUGCGAAGGGGGGACGGAGAAGGCUAUGUUGGCCGGGCGACGGUUGUCCCGGUUUAAGCGUGUAGGCUGGUUUUCCAGGCAAAUCCGGAGAAUCAAGGCUGAGGCGUGAUGACGAGGCACUACGGUGCUGAAGCAACAAAUGCCCUGCUUCCAGGAAAAGCCUCUAAGCAUCAGGUAACAUCAAAUCGUACCCCAAACCGACACAGGUGGUCAGGUAGAGAAUACCAAGGCGCUUGAGAGAACUCGGGUGAAGGAACUAGGCAAAAUGGUGCCGUAACUUCGGGAGAAGGCACGCUGAUAUGUAGGUGAAGCGACUUGCUCGUGGAGCUGAAAUCAGUCGAAGAUACCAGCUGGCUGCAACUGUUUAUUAAAAACACAGCACUGUGCAAACACGAAAGUGGACGUAUACGGUGUGACGCCUGCCCGGUGCCGGAAGGUUAAUUGAUGGGGUCAGCGCAAGCGAAGCUCUUGAUCGAAGCCCCGGUAAACGGCGGCCGUAACUAUAACGGUCCUAAGGUAGCGAAAUUCCUUGUCGGGUAAGUUCCGACCUGCACGAAUGGCGUAAUGAUGGCCAGGCUGUCUCCACCCGAGACUCAGUGAAAUUGAACUCGCUGUGAAGAUGCAGUGUACCCGCGGCAAGACGGAAAGACCCCGUGAACCUUUACUAUAGCUUGACACUGAACACUGGUCCUUGAUGUGUAGGAUAGGUGGGAGGCUUUGAAGUGUGGACGCCAGUCUGCAUGGAGCCGUCCUUGAAAUACCACCCUUUAAUGGCUGGUGUUCUAACGUAGGCCCCUUACCGGGGUUGCGGACAGUGUCUGGUGGGUAGUUUGACUGGGGCGGUCUCCUCCUAAAGAGUAACGGAGGAGCACGAAGGUUGGCUAAUCCUGGUCGGACAUCAGGAGGUUAGUGCAAUGGCAUAAGCCAGCUUGACUGCGAGCGUGACGGCGCGAGCAGGUGCGAAAGCAGGUCAUAGUGAUCCGGUGGUUCUGAAUGGAAGGGCCAUCGCUCAACGGAUAAAAGGUACUCCGGGGAUAACAGGCUGAUACCGCCCAAGAGUUCAUAUCGACGGCGGUGUUUGGCACCUCGAUGUCGGCUCAUCACAUCCUGGGGCUGAAGUAGGUCCCAAGGGUAUGGCUGUUCGCCAUUUAAAGUGGUACGCGAGCUGGGUUUAGAACGUCGUGAGACAGUUCGGUCCCUAUCUGCCGUGGGCGCUGGAGAACUGAGGGGGGCUGCUCCUAGUACGAGAGGACCGGAGUGGACGCAUCACUGGUGUUCGGGUUGUCAUGCCAAUGGCACUGCCCGGUAGCUAAAUGCGGAAGAGAUAAGUGCUGAAAGCAUCUAAGCACGAAACUUGCCCCGAGAUGAGUUCUCCCUGAGACUUUAAGUCUCCUGAAGGAACGUUGAAGACGACGACGUUGAUAGGCCGGGUGUGUAAGCGCAGCGAUGCGUUGAGCUAACCGGUACUAAUGAACCGUGAGGCUUAACCUU
rnacentral:rRNA from 1 species